rnacentral:lncRNA from 1 species
UCAAAAGGACUAAUAGCUGAGUGUUAGAUGCUCCGGAAGGCAAAAAUAUGAAGAUGCAGAAGGUCAACACGGGCUCCCGUGUACAUCAACACUGCCCGUGUUGUUUGCCAGGAAGGAGCACUCAAAGAUGGGAGUCAGGGGGUUAACACGGGCACCUGUGUACAUCAACACGACCCGUGUUGAUGCCUCUGUAGCUUGCUUUAAAAAACACAACUUUUGAAGAGCAACACGGGCACCCGUGUGAAUCCACACGGCCCGUGUUGAUGGGCGCGACUGAGAAAUUUUACUUUAUGUUGUAUGGAUCUGCCCUGUUCAUUAAGGGUAUUUUGGACUUCUUGCUGGGAGAGAAAACCAUCUGAGGCUAUUAGAAGAUUUUGGAGAGAAAGAGAAGGGGACUUUUUUACAUACGAGAGAAAAACAUUGCACUGGAGAAUAUAGCUACUACGGAGGAUUUGAAGACGACGAGAUUCAAGGGUAUCAACCAUUGAAGAUUAAAAUCUCCUAAUUCUUUGUAAUGUUUAAAUAUCCACACUAUGAUUUCUUUGAAUACUAUGAGAGGCUAAACCCCCCAAUGCUAGGGGGUGGUCCUGAUUUGAUCUUAUGUUAUGAAUUCGAACCAUGGAUUUUCUUAUUACUAUGUUACAUAUUUCAAUUUAAUUGU